UACGGAGGGUGCAAGCGUUGUUCGGAAUUACUGGGCGUAAAGCGCGUGUAGGCGGUUAUUUAAGUUUGGUGUGAAAGCCCGAGGCUUAACUUCGGAAGUGCACUGAAUACUGAAUAGCUAGAGGACAAGAGAGGGAAGUGGAAUUCCUGGUGUAGGGGUGAAAUCCGUAGAUAUCAGGAGGAACAUCGGAGGCGAAGGCGACUUCCUGGCUUGUUUCUGACGCUCAGACGCGAAAGCAUGGGUAGCAAACAGG
rnacentral:rRNA from 1 species